CAGCUGGCUAGGGAUGACCCUCAAUGGGAGAGGUACCCGCAUGGAUUUGUACUCAAGGUCACCAACUGGGUCGAGAGUCAGCAAACAGAAUUUCUCGAGUCGGUGUCGCGGCUUAUGAACGAGGUGAGUGCGCAAGUGCCAUGCCAGCUGCCCGUGCUCUCCAAGGAGGGACGCCACUUGGCCACAGAUCGUUUCCCGAUCGGAGGGCCACAAAGUACCUUUGUGAAGGAAUGUGCAAUCCGGCUGUUGACCUUCCUGCCCGGACACACGAUAAGCCGUAGAGAAGUAAACGACCGUACGUGCCUUACCUGGGGUGGUCUCUUAGGAAGAAUCCAUCGAGUCAU
rnacentral:lncRNA from 1 species